rnacentral:lncRNA from 10 species
CUCAAUCUAAUAGAAGCACACAUCAAUCUGGGACCACAGAGAGUAUUCAUCAGGAUAUUUCCCACGAGCCUCUGACGGGUGCUCUGAGAAAGAUUUGGGCCGGCAGGACACCUGAGAGAGCCACCAUUUGCAGCGCAGACCAGCAGAAGGUGAUCAGCUGCCACCGUGAAGGAGACAGAAAACUCUGCCAUUUCCCUAGAGCUUCCUCUCAUAUGAAGCAAAAGCCUUAAACCACUAGAG